rnacentral:lncRNA from 1 species
CUGCUGUUACAAAACCCACAGAAAAUUUUCAGCUGUUCUACCUCACUCAUUUGGGGUUAAAAACCCCAAAUAAUUGAUUGGCAAGUGAAGGCAAAGCAAAUGAUGGAGAGGGCUGUCAAAACCAGGCGUUAUUUUUGUCUCGGGAUCCUGAACACAUCAGAAGCUCCUUCCCUGCCUGUGGAAUUGUGCUCUCCUCUUGAAUGCUCUGUUCCUUCUGGCUGGGGAGAGAAUCAGGCACAGCCUGCUGGGCUUGGCUGGUGUUUUAUUGCCUCAGAGAUGGCUCUGCCACCUCGCUGUGACCCAUGGCUCCCAGAUCCGCUCCCAGGACGGGCUCCUUCCUAAUCCAGCAGAGAUUUCACCAGCAUGGAUCUGAGUUUUGUUCCAGAAAGAACAGCAGAGGACACCCCAGAACUCAGCAAGUGUUGGCUCUGUGCCGUAAUCCCUCUUUGUGUCUGUCACAAAGAGAUCCUGCGAGGGGCUGGGAUUCCGCUGCCGAAUCCCCAAUCCCUGCGGCAGACCGAGGUGCCAGAGCUGCCAAACUUCCCCUCGUCCCUGUGCCAUGGAGGGGUUUGGUUUCAUUGAAAUUCCCUGAGAUCCCUGGAGCAGGAUCCCCAGGCAGUAGGAAGUGCAAAAGGAAGCAAAGAUGCUGCGUUUGGCUUCUGCAAAUGGAAGAGGCAGGGAAUUGCUGUGAAUUCCAGCAGGGAAUUGCUGUGAACUCCUUCCCUUCAGACUGGUCCAGGAGAACUGCUCAGGAAAGUUGUGAAUUGUUUUAAUGCCAGAUCUGUGUUCAGCUCCUGUUUCCCAGCUUAUUGACCCUUCCAAAAGCCAUCCCAAAAAUAAAACCUGGAUGGAAAGAAAGGGGAGAAGGGAU